GCGGGGCGGGCGGGUCCCGGAGCGCCGCGGGGCGCUGAGAGCGGGGCCGGGGGGGGCAGCGCCGCCCCCUGCGGAGGGAGCCGGGACGGGCGGCGGCGGGGCGAGGGCUGCCGGAGCCGCGAGGUUCGCCCGCACCGGCCCGGGAGGGCUGCCCCGAUCGGCGGGGUGCGGCGGUGCCCGAGUCCUGGUUGUGAAGCAGUCCGUGCCGUGCUGGGGAUGAAGGGGAUGGUUUGUUCAGAGCAGGCACAUCCCUGUGGUCAGAAAUGAGCUCUGUUUGGCAGGAAGCACUGAGGAAGGCUGGCAGAGAGGCAGUGUGGCCCUUACAUGCAAGAUUGCUCCAGAAGUGAAGAAGCACUGGUGGAGGCAGUGCAACCCCUGGCGAGAAGCAGCAGAGCUGUGCAGCAAAGGAGGGAGCUGCUUCCAGGAGAUGGAAACAUGCUGCUGAACUGAAUUUUGCAGCUGCAUUUUCAAAUGUACCAUGGGAUGCAUCAAAUCCAAAGAUGCCUUCGCGGGAUCAAAUGCUAUCCGUGUGGAAGGGAGCAGGGAAGGUGACGAAGGGUGCACUGGGGAGAAAUCGUCCCUAAUAGCAGGGAUGGCGGAUGAGAAAGGCCCGUCGAGUGCCAUAGUGCUGGACUACGCACACCGCCUCUCCCAUGAGAUCCUCGAUCAGGCAGUGAAGCAGUGGGCAGUGACAGAGAGCAAAUACAGCGACAUCCCCUUCAUCGAGAGCGACGUACCCUGAGCCUGGCUGGCACGGACUGGCUUCAGUGAGGGUCUGUCUGCCAGCAGCUCAUGUUUGGUGCUGGUGCAAGUUAAGUCAGCUGUGACCAAGUGAAGUGCUGCUCUGAAUGUGUUUGCAAGGAGAGGCUGGAAAACACUGCCUUUUAAUCCAUAUUGCUAGGAAACCCUGUGGAACACAGUAGUACCUAUUAAUCAAGUGUUGUUCAUUAUCGGCUGUAUGAUGAGUGUUGUCUGUCUUUGUAUGUGCUGAGUGAUCAGAAAUCAGUGUUAAGAAAAUGGGAAGAAUGCAACUGCCUUGCAACUGUAGGAGCACUGCUGCAGGGGCCCCAGAGAUGCUGCAGAACAAAGUGUGGAUUGUAUUUAUGUACUGCAUAAAAAAUAUACAGCCUGUUUGUAGGUGACGAGGAUGGUAUGCCUGGCAAAGCCUGUCUGUGUUCUGCAGAAGUGAAAGCGGGACCUCUGUGGAGCAAAGGCAACUGCUGCUGUAACCUUCACCCUGGUUCUCUGACCUGAGCAGGCCUACAAACCACAGAGUGACAAAGGUGGCGAGAAGCAUUUUAUGAAACCAAAUGGUAUUCGGGGAACCAUAUGGGUUAUGGUCCUGUUCAACUGCCACUCUUAACAGAACUGAUGAGAAACAUUGUGAUAUUGAGAAGUGGUGCAUUGUAAUUAAGUUAACAGAUGCCCUGGCUUCUGCAAAGGCAUGGAGGCUAUUCUCUAAAAUCUUGCAGUAAGAGUUUAAUUACAUCUAAUUGUGUUCAGGCCAAAGCUGUUUGCUUUGCUUUUGUUUAUUUUUGUAUUACUUGGUCGGGGGCUGUAUUGAUUUCAUGGCACUGUGGCUGCACUGUGCUGAGCUUUCAAUCCAGCAUCGCAGCCUGUGAACUGUUGGCCUUCACCUUCCUUCUGCUCCCGCGGGCUGAGCACAUCCCCAGGGUAGAGCCGCGUGCACUGCGGCACAGCUGAGCUGUGGGAGCCUCAGGCCUGAGCAGAGCACGGGGCUGUGAGCGAGCCUUGGGCCGCAGGCUAACGGGCUGCUGUGUUCAUCAGCAGUGCUGCGCAGCUCACAGCACCACUCCUCUCCGGGCCUGGGGCCUGACCUGCUGCUCUGCUCUCUGGGAAUGGGAGGAGGAGGCAGAGACUGGUCUCCUACUGCUCUGCUGCCAUCUUAGGCAAAGUGAAUGCCUCCUAGGAAGCUUUUGGUUUUUUAGCACCCAUUUGCUCCUUCUUCUAUUAAGGCUGAUGUGUCAGCCAUGUCGUUUUGUUCCUGCACCCAAGUGCUUUCCAUUCCAUAUUUUCAUUUUGCAGAAAGAAACUGCUUUCCAUGCUGGCCAGCCCUGUUACUAUAUUUAAAAGGUACACGCAGUUCUGGUGACUGACACAAGCGUGGCUCUGAAGCAGUGGUAAGCAGCAGAAAGAGGAGCACUCCCAGUGUUAUUUUCAGCUCACUCUCACACAUGCAUUGAGAGGGAGCACGGCUGUCCUGCAAACUUUCUGACUCAAACUUAAUCACUUGAAAUUCAGCUGUUGGGAAGUGUGUGCAGAGGGAAGGGUCACAAAUACUCUUUGGUAGCUCAGCACACAACUGGCACUGGCCAGGCUGGCCCGGCCACAAGGCUGUCCAUGUGCCAUAGGUGGCAGUGAGUGGAAGGGCCCUCCUGGAGUUCUGCUGUGCUAACAGGCCUAAUGCUAAACGGGUAAUAACAAAGGCUUCUUUACCUAAAUGGAAUUCCAUCUGUCUGCUUACCUUUAGAUGAAACUGUUCCGCAGUUUUAAAAAGCCACUUGUAGUGCAAAGUUGACACCCGUUCUUUGAUUUAGUGUAAUAAAGGCACUCUGGCAGGGGAGUGGUUUGUUCUGAAAUACACACGUCCUUCUGGGUGGGAGUUCAGUGUUGGUGUGCUUUGUGUUUUCUGUGUGGAUCACAACAGGCUCUGAGUGGGUACGGUGUGACUGAGACAUCCUAGGCAUGGUUUGGAGCACACCAACUGCAGCACAACUUUGUACCGCUGCCCUUUCUGCAGUACAGCACACCCAUAUUCUCAAAUAAAACACACUACAAUCUAUUUUUACAAUAUUUUUUGUGCAAAAUAUUUUCUUGUGGACCAAAUAAAAUUAGAAUGACCAUCUGCUUAUGACUUUUAUUUGGAACGAGGCAUGCGUUGGAGAGGGUCUCGUUACAGUGAGCUCCGGAUGAUUCCCUUUCACAUCCUGUUUGGAAGCACACAGAUGUGCACAUCGCUGCUCCCAGGUUCAGCAGCAGCUCAAAUACUGCAGGUCCCUCUCAGGCACAGAAGGGAUGUCCCCUGCACCCCGGGGGUCGCUGUGUUAUUCAGUGGAUCCAGCAGCUGACAGUGGUGGCGUUUGUAUGGGAGCAAUGGAAUGGACCGUUUCUUUUUAAGUAAGUAAAGAACAGUUGUUGUUUAAGAAUCUGGAACAUCUAGGAAGGUCUGUAUUUCUUACGGCCCAGUGCUGCAAACUGAUGGUACUGAGCAGAAGUGUUCUUUCUUUAAUGCCAGUGGUUCCUCUUCCAAAAUCGUGCAUUUGUAACCUGUCUCUAACUGUGGAAACAAGUCAGAGAUGCUGAUGUGCAAUUUGCUUGAGUGUAUAGAAGUGUGCAGCCUUCACACUGAACAAAGAUCUGUAGCUGUGCUUUGCAGACACAAUAGAAGAAUAAAUAUUGCCCCCUUCUACAAUAUGGUAGUGGUAUCAGAGGCCUCUGGUUCUAUUGUAUAACUUUAAAUAUUGUUAGCAACCGAAAUCAGUUUGCAUGUUUAAAUGUUGAUCCCCACAGCUACGCUUGCGAGGAUUUGUUGCGUUAAAGUAGCUCAGGGACUGUGCAGCAGCAGCCGUUCUGUCUGCCGCUGUUCUGUAUCAGUGCAUCCUGCUGCAUUCCUCCUACCUGCCCCAAGUUUCCCACCGAGCACCUGGGGACGGCUCCAGCUCAGGAUGCUGCUGAGCACAAGGAGAAGUGAAGGUAGCUGGCCUGGUGCAGCCGCACUGCAGCCACGUGAGCAUCAGGGCCGCUGCCACUGGCGUCGCUGGGCACUCACUGCCACCAGCAGCCAACAUGCUCCUUGCAGGCAGAGCAGGCUCGAGACUGACUUAUUUGCUACUGGGAGAGCAUGAAAAGCUCCAGUAGCACUUGAAAUCAUGAGAAGCUCAUUAUGCAAUUCAAUCAAUGGCAUUCUUACAAAAUAGAUUUUACAAGCAAAGAGAAAUGUACUUGAGGCUCUGGCACUAUUAUGACAUUUGAAACAAUGUCUGCAUCACGUGGCAAGGCUGUGCACAGACCAAAUGUUAGAUCAAUAAAACAAUUCCUUGCUCUCAGACUAAUAAUCAUAUGUCAGUCUGACCUUUGAUUUAAAAGACUACUUAACACCGUGAAAUCAGCAUGUCUGCCGUUUAGCUUUGUAGCUCUGCUUUAAUGCUUUAAGUAUACCUUCAUUUCAUUGCACAGAGAAGAAUCAGAGGCCCAAUCCCACUCCAACAGCCCAGCAUCCGAGCCACGAACGCUGUGGGCUCCUCACCUCCUGCUCCAUAGCUCAUGCCUGAGCCGCGCUGUCUCCCCGCAAGGUUCCCCCCAAUGUCUGAGGCCUAAAGCUGAAUAUGAAUCAUGGUCUAACAGCAGAUAGAAUAACUAUUUGCCUUGAAGUCAUUUUUCCCCUUAUUAACCACAGAUGUAAUCAUGUUGUCUUUACAGCUGCAUAACAAAAGAGAAUGGUACUGAAUGCAAAAAUAGAGUUACAAGUCAGGCUGGCUGAGAGCCUCGUCAAACUUCAUCGUGCAGUUAUUAGUUUUUAUAUCAUAAAAUGAAGCAGAUGUGUAAGAUGCCAAUAGAUGCGAUCUUUACAACUUGAGAUCGUUGUUUCCCAGAGGCUUAAAACAAUUGUCCACGAAUUCAUCGCUGACUUCUUCCAGAGUAGCAGGCUUCCAGCGGGGCGACUGGUCCUUGUCAAUCAGCACUGCGAGUGGGGAGAAAAACACAGCAGUGAGCACAUUCUCUAACUGAGAUGACUUCUGGCUGCACCCAGAUCUACGGAGAUAUACCAGAGAGAAAAGUCAGUGCAUUCCUUGUGUCACAGCUACAGAAGGCACGGCAGUAAGACUGUGGGCUGCAAAAGAAACUCCCUCUACUGAGCACCGCUCAGAGAACGUCCAGGAAAUAAGUCUCAUUCAAAGGACAAGUUGCAGUAGUUGCUGAGGCUGAGGACAAACCAACAUCACAACUUUUCCUCUUGUAGCUACCAAAGAAAGGAGGAGCUGUGAAUCAGAGCACUGACCCCAUUCUUCUCAAGUACAGGACUGAGGGCUCCUGGGAUGCAAGUAAGCACUGAGUAGAAAUUCAUUACAUAGCCAUAGUAGAAGUUAUGUGGGUAAUUCUUUCAAAGCAGCCUGCUUUUAUUCUAUAACUAAUUUACUUACUGAAAAGUUAUGAUUCUACAAGCUUUUUUACACUUUUUCACACUUCUUCCCUUUUCACAUGUGAUGAUAUGAAGCCAUUGAUUGGUCCAAGUCAAAACCACCCCAAAUCAAUUUAGCUUAUUGCACUGGAAUAGCACUUAUCUCAUUGUUUUCUUCAAUUCACAACCACAGACUGGCAGAAAUUAUCUCAUCUAUCCCCUACAAAAGCCAACGCUGAUUGGAGUUGCUGUACAUUAGAGAGGAAGCGGGGGAAAGUCGGUGUGCACACUGCUACAGCUUCAGCUCUGGAACACCGUCGCUGCUGGUCGUUCUCAGUGGCACGCGGCACUGUGCGCUCAGGCAGAAUGAUCUGUUUGGGUCAGCAGCCAGCCUGACAGGUGGUCACACUGAAUGAUCCUAAUGGUGCCUCCUAUGAAAUGUUUCAUCUUUCUUAAAUUCAAGUACUGAUUAUCUAAUAGUGUUGUGAACACUCUCCUCCAGUGCAAUAACUUCUCUGUAUUUUGCUCUUCUCCAGCUUGAGAUCUCUGCACAAGAAUGGAACAGGAAUUCUGGGGACUUCUGAGGUAGGUAGAGGGAAGCUCAUUAAGAUAGAAGUAACAGACUGCUAUGGUUAUGGACUUGUUCCUGUGGUCCCCAAGGAAAAAAAGAAACAAAGGUAGGAAUGAGUUUGCGCGACUGUGUUCUUCUGCUUAUGUGCACUCAGCAGUCAGAACCCUGAUAGUUCUAAGCACUUGAGAUUCUAUGAGCAGCUCUGAAAUCUGUCUGUCUGCUCCCUCCUAUGGGGGUGAGGCUGGCAGCUGCCAGCACUGCAGGGCAGAAGCAGCACCCCGCUGCUGCAUGCAGUA
rnacentral:lncRNA from 1 species